rnacentral:rRNA from 1 species
UACAGAGGUCCCAAGCGUUGUUCGGAUUCAUUGGGCGUAAAGGGUGCGUAGGCGGCGCGGUAAGUCGGGUGUGAAAUCUCGGGGCUUAACUCCGAAACUGCAUUCGAUACUGCCGUGCUUGAGGACUGGAGAGGAGACUGGAAUUUACGGUGUAGCGGUGGAAUGCGUAGAGAUCCGGAAGAACACCGGUGGCGAAGGCGGCCUGCUGGGCAGUAGCUGACACUGAGGCGCGACAGCGUGGGGAGCAAACAGG